rnacentral:lncRNA from 10 species
AUAACUUGCAGUUAAAUAAUUAAAGUCAAUUAAAGUUUAUUUCAUUUUGAGCAUUUCCCAAAGCCCUAGAGUAAAUUGGAGUCUCCCUGGAGUAUUGCAAAGCCGGGUUUGGAAAUCUCAGAUGAAGAGAAUGUUGGGCAAUGGAUGAUGGAGAAAAAGGAGAAACAAAGAGAAAGAGGACAGAGAUGGCUGGAGACAGAGACAAGGAGAGUCAGAAAUGAUUCUUCAAGGCGAAUGACUCGAAAUGGAGAUUUCUUC